AAACACUGUUUUGCCAUUUUGAAAUGGACCACAGGAGGACCUGGAGGGGAAACACAUCAACCGCAUGGGAGAAAUGAGCAGCAGAGAAAAUCAAAAUAUAACUACUUUGUUUUUUGUGGACAGUAUGUUUUCUGCAAGUGGAAGCUGAAGCCCAGCGUGACUGCAGCCAUGAGGAGACCAAGCAGCAACAUGAAGUGGAAUAAAACAGAGGAGCUGGAGGCUCGAAACAUCCUCUGCUCUGCCACACAGCACCGCAUGACUACAAACUGAAGACAGUGUUAGACAGAAAGAGAGAGAGACAUGGACACUGGUUGGGAAAAGCUCACUAAUUUACACAUUUUUUUCUAGCUUGUUUAAUCCGUACAAAACCAAAUUUUAGACACAACUGUUAUGCUUUCAUACUUCUGUAUUUUUCCAAAUGAGUAAUUUCUCUGUUUCUAAAGACCUCUGUUAGAUUGGUUUUGUUUUAUUUAUUGAAGUAAUAUUACUACACUGUAUGUAGUAUACUGUUAAAUUAAUUUAUCAUAAUUAAAACAUUAAGAGACACAAAGAGGGAGAGACAGCUCAUGCACAAUAAAUGAUCGAUAACU